UACGUAGGGGGCAAGCGUUGUCCGGAAUCAUUGGGCGUAAAGCGCGUGUAGGCGGCUGAGUAAGUCUGCUCUGAAAGCCCGGGGCUCAACCCCGGGAGGCGGGUGGAUACUGCUCAGCUCGAGUCCGGAAGAGGAGUGUGGAAUUCCUGGUGUAGCGGUGAAAUGCGCAGAUAUCAGGAGGAACACCUGUGGCGAAAGCGGCUCACUGGACCAUUACUGACGCUGAUGCUCGAAAGCUAGGGGAGCAAACAGG
rnacentral:rRNA from 1 species